CUACGGGGGGCAGCAGUGGGGAAUUUUGCGCAAUGGGCGAAAGCCUGACGCAGCAACGCCGCGUGAGGGAUGAAGGCCUUCGGGUUGUAAACCUCUUUCGGGUGGGAAGAAAAAAAUGACGGUACCACCAGAAGAAGCCCCGGCUAACUCCGUGCCAGCAGCCGCGGUAAUACGGAGGGGGCAAGCGUUGCUCGGAAUUAUUGGGCGUAAAGCGUAUGUAGGCGGUCUGGCAAGUCAGACGUGUAAGCCCACGGCUCAACCGUGGAAUUGCGUUUGAAACUAUCAGGCUUGAGUUCGGAAGAGGAAAGCGGAAUUCCCAGUGUAGCGGUGAGAUGCAUUGAUAUUGGGAAGAACAUCGGUGGCGAAGGCGGCUUUCUGGUCCGAUACUGACGCUGAGAUACGAAAGCCAGGGGAGCAAACGGGAUUAGAUACCCCGGUAGUC
rnacentral:rRNA from 1 species